GAAGAUAAGCUCUUUCUGAAGUAAUUGGAGGAAGGCAGGCCCAUGAAUCUUUAUAUUUAUGAAAGAAAUUUCAAAUUAUCAAUAGCUGAUUGAGUGUUAAUACUUCCCUAUCCUCGUGAGGAGCUGGGGGAAGUUAGGGAGCAGAGGUGGAGCCAGCUUAUAAAAGCUACUUAAACGGGCCUGCCCAAAAGAUCCCUUAACACUCCUGGAGAAGGAGAGAUUGCCAAAAAAGAAAGUCUGUUUCUGAUGCUGUAUUUUCAAAUGGCCCAAUUGUACUCUAGGAAGAUUUUAGGACCUCUAGGUUAAGAAGUUCUCCAAAAAAGACCCACAUCUACUUGCUGUCAAGCAAAGGCUCAUAGAAUUGACCAAUGCAUGAAGUCUUGAUGUCUGCUUCCUGGAUGGACUAAUUCUUACCUUCAGACUAUGUCCGUGAUUGGGAGUCAUUUCCAAACUGGGAAUCUUCUUACAGAUGAAAUGCUUAGAAGCUGCAUGGCUGGUACAGAUGGAAGUCUCAAGUUUCCAUGAAGGGGAACUUGAUCCCUAACUACUGGGCAGUUACUGCCCCCAUGUGGAAGCCAUCUUGUUUUAGAGGAUCCUCUUGUCAAGAGUAUAAAUUAUAAUUUGAUCAACAGACAACCUUGUAGCAAAUAAAGGCAGAAAAUGGACAAAAUCUUCUCAGAUGUUAAAUAGAGCUUUAUAAUAAAAGCUUCUGAAACUAUGCUGUGAGCAAGUUAAUGGAGUCUUGGACACAUCUGUUAAAGGAAUUUACGGACAAAAAAAUCUCUGAACUAUUCUAAAAUUCAAGGAUCAACUCUAAUCGUGAUUUCUUAAUCUAUAUAAAUCCUGACUAGAGUUCCAUUUUCCAAAAGGAUGAUGAGAUCUUUGGGGACAAUAAGGAAAAACAAUAUAUAUCCAUGUUGUUGCUAUCCCGACUGCUAUAUCUCUACUUCAAAUCUUGGCCAUUUUCCAACUGAACCCCCCCCCAAAAAAAAAAGGGCUGGGUCCAGCAGCUUUGACCAGAAAACUCUGAUAGCUAACUUGGAUAUGAAUUUUACUGGAAUCUUUUUUUUUUUUAAUAGAUGGUACUGGCUAGACUAUUCCAUGUCUUCCUUCAUAUGAAGGACCAUUAAAACUUUCCUAAAUAGAUAGCAUUUAUGCUUAAAGCUCUAUAUGAGAGGAGGGAUUAGCCUCUUUCACACUUAGAGAUUUUUGGUUUCUCACCUAAACAAGAUGUCCUUUAACUCUAAAUGAAUACUAAAACCUUUCCCACAGUCCUUACAUUUUUAAAGGUUCUUGUUCCAAGCAAGUGCUUGUUCCAAAGCAAGGAACACUUUAAACUUGUGUUUAUAUAUUUUUUAAAAAAUUGUCCUGAUCAGCUGCCCUCAUGUCUAAAGUCUCUAGACCAAAAAAAAAAAAAAGUCCCUCUGUUUGUUUCUUGACAGCAAACCUAUCACCCAGGAUGUGAUGUCCUUCUCAAUAUCCAAUACUGGAGGCUAAGAUGGGGUGAUGACUUGGACUAGGAGUUAUAGGUGAUAAAGUUGUCUAGAUUAGAAUUCUCUGGAUUUGAAAAGAUGAUCAUCCUGGACUUGUAUUUUCUUUUUUCCCAUACAGGGGAGUGAAUUUGGGACUUGGUCUCUCCCUUCUUUAGAAACAGGUUCUGGGCUCUCCAGCCUUUACGAAGAAGUGGAUCAGACCCAACAAAACUUAGUAGAUGAGCCAGUAUUCUCUUGGAUGCUUUCCUUGCCUAGAGACAAUAAAAUGAUAAUGUUCUUCCAAUGUACCCCACAGUGAACUCAAGUUGAAAUAGAAAAAGAAUUUGACAUUUUACCUUCAGUCUUUCUCACUGGGCCUACUUCUAGUGGAACAUUGACUAAAAAUUAAAUUUGGACAAACUGAACAAGGAGAGCAACUUGGAUGAUAUCAUAAAGAAAAAAAUCUUGAAUGAUUUGAGGUCUAUCAACUAUGAAGAUUCAUGAUGAAACAUCGCCUGACUCUUGACAAGCAACAUAGGAUGCAGAUUGAGACAUUUUUUUUGGAUAUGGGCAAUAUGAGAAUUUGUUUUGCUUGACUGUGCUUAUUUGUUAUAAGAGUUUUGUUUUUCCUUUUGUUCCUAUGGCAGGGAGGAAGCAGGAGGAGAGACUAGUUACUGUUGAAUGGGGGGGGGAGGGAAAUGAAUAAUUUUAAGUGAAUAAUGUGCAUUUACUGAUAGAAAUAUUUAUGAAUUAAGAAUGGAUAUCCUUAAAUAUUUUCCCUCUUUAUUUCUGCUUUUUGGUGGCUUCCUUGGUCUCAAAUCCCAACUAAAAUCCUAUUUUUAUGAGAAGCCUUCUCUGAUUUCCCCAUAAUGCAAGUACUUUACAUCUGUUUCUCAGACUUAUUUUGUAUAUCUUGUUUCUACUAGUUUGUCUUCUAUUAGACUGUAAGCUACUUGAGAGGAAGGGCUAACUUGUUUUUUUGUCUGCCACAUGAUAAGCACUUAGUAAAUGUUUAUUGACCAAUCCUAACAAAGCAUUUGCCUAAUGAAAAUCUAUCAUCUUAUACAGAA